GAUGAAGAACGUAGCGAAAUGCGAUAAGUAAUGUGAAUUGCAGAAUUCAGUGAAUCAUCGAAUCUUUGAACGCACAUUGCGCCCGCCAGUAUUCUGGCGGGCAUGCCUGUUCGAGCGUCAUUUCAACCCUCAAGACCCCUUCGGGGGACUUGGUGUUGGGGACCGGCACAGGGGCCUGCCUGCUUGUCUUGCAGCGCCCUCGCCGCCCCCGAAAUGAAUUUGCGGCCUCGUCGCGGCCUCCCCUGCGUAGUAGCACAACCUCGCAACGGGAACGUGACGGCGGCCACUGCCGUAAAACAACCCAAUUUUAUUAGAGUUGACCUCGAAUCAGGUAGGAAUACCCGCUGAACUUAAGCAUAUCAAUAAGCGGAGGA
rnacentral:misc_RNA from 1 species